UACGGAGGGUGCAAACGUUGCUCGGAAUCAUUGGGCGUAAAGCGCGCGUAGGCGGUCCAGCAAGUCGGGUGUGAAAGCCCUCGGCUUAACCGAGGAAGUGCAUUCGAAACUACUGGACUUGAGUACUGAAGAGGAUCGCGGAAUUCCCGGUGUAGAGGUGAAAUUCGUAGAUAUCGGGAGGAACACCGGUGGCGAAGGCGGCGACCUGGGGUAGAUACUGACGCUGAGGUGCGAAAGCGUGGGGAGCAAACAGG
rnacentral:rRNA from 1 species